AUCCAAAUGUCGAGUCCCAAAUAGGACGAAACGCGCGUCCUGGAU
rfam:Schistosoma margrebowiei strain Zambia genome assembly, scaffold: SMRZ_scaffold0000877